GAUGAACGCUGGCGGCGUGCCUAAUACAUGCAAGUCGAACGAGGUGCUUUUGUAGCAAUACGAGAGUAUCCUAGUGGCGAACGGGUGAGUAACGCGUUGGUGACCUGCCCCAAAGUGUGGGAUAACAGUCCGAAAGGAUUGCUCAUACCGCAUGUGGUCCCCGGAUUUAGAAACCGGUGACUAAAGCAGUAAUGCGCUUUGGGAGGGACCUGCGUCCCAUCAGCUAGUUGGUGAGGUAACGGCCCACCAAGGCGACGACGGGUAGGGGACCUGAGGGGGGGGCCCCCCACAAUGGAACUGAAACACGGUCCAUACACCUACGGGUGGCAGCAGUAGGGAAUAUUGCACAAUGGGCGAAAGCCUGAUGCGGCAACGGCGCGUGUGCGAAGAAGGCCUUCGGGUCGUAAAGCACUUUUCUGGGAGAUGAGAAAGGACAGUACUCUUAGAAUAAGCCUCGGCUAACUACGUGCCAGCAGCCGCCGUAACAC
rnacentral:rRNA from 1 species